GAUGAAGAACGCAGCGAAAUGCGAUAAGUAAUGUGAAUUGCAGAAUUCAGUGAAUCAUCGAAUCUCUGAACGCACAUUGCGCCCAUUAGUAUUCUAGUGGGCAUGCCUGUUCGAGCGUCAUUUCAACCCUUAAGCCUAGCUUAGUAUUGGGAAUCGACUUUACUGUCGUUCCUCAAAUUCAACGGCGGAUUUAUAGCAAUCUCUGAACGUAGUAAUUUUUUUCCUCGUUUUUGAAAUACUAUAAACCUCAGCCGCUAAACCCCCAAUUUUUCUAUGGUUGACCUCGGAUCAGGUAGGAAUACCCGCUGAACUUAAGCAUAUCAAUAAGCGGAGGA
rnacentral:misc_RNA from 1 species